AACGAACGCUGGCGGCAGGCCUAACACAUGCAAGUCGAACGCCCCCUUCGGGGGGAGUGGCGCACGGGUGAGUAACGCGUGGGAAUCUGCCCUUUGGUCUGGAAUAACCCUGGGAAACUAGGGCUAAAACCGGAUAAGCCCCGCGAGGGGGAAAGUUUACGCCGAAGGAGGAGCCCGCGUCCGAUUAGCUAGUUGGUGAGGUAAGAGCUUACCAAGGCGACGAUCGGUAGCUGGUCUGAGAGGACGAUCAGCCACACUGGGACUGAGACACGGCCCAGACUCCUACGGGAGGCAGCAGUGGGGAAUAUUGGACAAUGGGCGCAAGCCUGAUCCAGCCAUGCCGCGUGAGUGAUGAAGGCCUUCGGGUUGUAAAGCUCUUUUGGCGGGGACGAUGAUGACGGUACCCGCAGAAUAAGCCCCGGCAAACUUCGUGCCAGCAGCGCAGUAA
rnacentral:rRNA from 1 species